rnacentral:rRNA from 1 species
AAACUGGGAUUAGAUACCCCACUAUGCUUAGCCCUAAACCUGAAUAAUUUCAUAACAAAAUUACUCGCCAGAGAACUACAAGCCAGAGCUUAAAACUCAAAGGACUUGGCGGUGCUUUAUACCCGCCUAGAGGAGCCUGUUCUAUAAUCGAUAAACCCCGAUAAACCUUACCACUCUUUGCCAACUCAGCCUAUAUACCGCCAUCUUCAGCGAACCCUAAAAAGGAACAAAAGUAAGCUCAACUAUUCCCAUAAAAACGUUAGGUCAAGGUGUAGCCUAUAGAGUGGAAAGUAAUGGGCUACAUUUUCUUCUUCAGAACAUACGAAAGCCCUUAUGAAAUUCUAAGGGCCAAAGGAGGAUUU